rnacentral:rRNA from 1 species
UACGUAGGGUGCAAGCGUUAAUCGGAAUUACUGGGCGUAAAGCGUGCGCAGGCGGUUAUGUAAGACAGAUGUGAAAUCCCCGGGCUCAACCUGGGAACUGCAUUUGUAACUGCAUAGCUAGAGUACGGUAGAGGGGGAUGGAAUUCCGCGUGUAGCAGUGAAAUGCGUAGAUAUGCGGAGGAACACCGAUGGCGAAGGCAAUCCCCUGGACCUGUACUGACGCUCAUGCACGAAAGCGUGGGGAGCAAACAGG